rnacentral:rRNA from 1 species
GGUUAAGCGACUAAGCGUACACGGUGGAUGCCCUGGCAGUCAGAGGCGAUGAAGGACGUGCUAAUCUGCGAUAAGCGUCGGUAAGGUGAUAUGAACCGUUAUAACCGGCGAUUUCCGAAUGGGGAAACCCAGUGUGAUUCGUCACACUAUCAUUAACUGAAUCCAUAGGUUAAUGAGGCGAACCGGGGGAACUGAAACAUCUAAGUACCCCGAGGAAAAGAAAUCAACCGAGAUUCCCCCAGUAGCGGCGAGCGAACGGGGAGCAGCCCAGAGCCUGAAUCAGUGUGUGUGUUAGUGGAAGCGUCUGGAAAGGCGCGCGAUACAGGGUGACAGCCCCGUACACAAAAAUGCACAUGCUGUGAGCUCGAUGAGUAGGGCGGGACACGUGGUAUCCUGUCUGAAUAUGGGGGGACCAUCCUCCAAGGCUAAAUACUCCUGACUGACCGAUAGUGAACCAGUACCGUGAGGGAAAGGCGAAAAGAACCCCGGCGAGGGGAGUGAAAAAGAACCUGAAACCGUGUACGUACAAGCAGUGGGAGCACGCUUAGGCGUGUGACUGCGUACCUUUUGUAUAAUGGGUCAGCGACUUAUAUUCUGUAGCAAGGUUAACCGAAUAGGGGAGCCGAAGGGAAACCGAGUCUUAACUGGGCGUUAAGUUGCAGGGUAUAGACCCGAAACCCGGUGAUCUAGCCAUGGGCAGGUUGAAGGUUGGGUAACACUAACUGGAGGACCGAACCGACUAAUGUUGAAAAAUUAGCGGAUGACUUGUGGCUGGGGGUGAAAGGCCAAUCAAACCGGGAGAUAGCUGGUUCUCCCCGAAAGCUAUUUAGGUAGCGCCUCGUGAAUUCAUCUCCGGGGGUAGAGCACUGUUUCGGCAAGGGGGUCAUCCCGACUUACCAACCCGAUGCAAACUGCGAAUACCGGAGAAUGUUAUCACGGGAGACACACGGCGGGUGCUAACGUCCGUCGUGAAGAGGGAAACAACCCAGACCGCCAGCUAAGGUCCCAAAGUCAUGGUUAAGUGGGAAACGAUGUGGGAAGGCCCAGACAGCCAGGAUGUUGGCUUAGAAGCAGCCAUCAUUUAAAGAAAGCGUAAUAGCUCACUGGUCGAGUCGGCCUGCGCGGAAGAUGUAACGGGGCUAAACCAUGCACCGAAGCUGCGGCAGCGACGCUGAUGCGUUGUUGGGUAGGGGAGCGUUCUGUAAGCCUGCGAAGGUGUGCUGUGAGGCAUGCUGGAGGUAUCAGAAGUGCGAAUGCUGACAUAAGUAACGAUAAAGCGGGUGAAAAGCCCGCUCGCCGGAAGACCAAGGGUUCCUGUCCAACGUUAAUCGGGGCAGGGUGAGUCGACCCCUAAGGCGAGGCCGAAAGGCGUAGUCGAUGGGAAACAGGUUAAUAUUCCUGUACUUGGUGUUACUGCGAAGGGGGGACGGAGAAGGCUAUGUUGGCCGGGCGACGGUUGUCCCGGUUUAAGCGUGUAGGCUGGUUUUCCAGGCAAAUCCGGAAAAUCAAGGCUGAGGCGUGAUGACGAGGCACUACGGUGCUGAAGCAACAAAUGCCCUGCUUCCAGGAAAAGCCUCUAAGCAUCAGGUAACAUCAAAUCGUACCCCAAACCGACACAGGUGGUCAGGUAGAGAAUACCAAGGCGCUUGAGAGAACUCGGGUGAAGGAACUAGGCAAAAUGGUGCCGUAACUUCGGGAGAAGGCACGCUGAUAUGUAGGUGAAGUCCCUCGCGGAUGGAGCUGAAAUCAGUCGAAGAUACCAGCUGGCUGCAACUGUUUAUUAAAAACACAGCACUGUGCAAACACGAAAGUGGACGUAUACGGUGUGACGCCUGCCCGGUGCCGGAAGGUUAAUUGAUGGGGUUAGCGCAAGCGAAGCUCUUGAUCGAAGCCCCGGUAAACGGCGGCCGUAACUAUAACGGUCCUAAGGUAGCGAAAUUCCUUGUCGGGUAAGUUCCGACCUGCACGAAUGGCGUAAUGAUGGCCAGGCUGUCUCCACCCGAGACUCAGUGAAAUUGAACUCGCUGUGAAGAUGCAGUGUACCCGCGGCAAGACGGAAAGACCCCGUGAACCUUUACUAUAGCUUGACACUGAACAUUGAGCCUUGAUGUGUAGGAUAGGUGGGAGGCUUUGAAGUGUGGACGCCAGUCUGCAUGGAGCCGACCUUGAAAUACCACCCUUUAAUGUUUGAUGUUCUAACGUUGACCCGUGAUCCGGGUUGCGGACAGUGUCUGGUGGGUAGUUUGACUGGGGCGGUCUCCUCCUAAAGAGUAACGGAGGAGCACGAAGGUUGGCUAAUCCUGGUCGGACAUCAGGAGGUUAGUGCAAUGGCAUAAGCCAGCUUGACUGCGAGCGUGACGGCGCGAGCAGGUGCGAAAGCAGGUCAUAGUGAUCCGGUGGUUCUGAAUGGAAGGGCCAUCGCUCAACGGAUAAAAGGUACUCCGGGGAUAACAGGCUGAUACCGCCCAAGAGUUCAUAUCGACGGCGGUGUUUGGCACCUCGAUGUCGGCUCAUCACAUCCUGGGGCUGAAGUAGGUCCCAAGGGUAUGGCUGUUCGCCAUUUAAAGUGGUACGCGAGCUGGGUUUAGAACGUCGUGAGACAGUUCGGUCCCUAUCUGCCGUGGGCGCUGGAGAACUGAGGGGGGCUGCUCCUAGUACGAGAGGACCGGAGUGGACGCAUCACUGGUGUUCGGGUUGUCAUGCCAAUGGCACUGCCCGGUAGCUAAAUGCGGAAGAGAUAAGUGCUGAAAGCAUCUAAGCACGAAACUUGCCCCGAGAUGAGUUCUCCCUGACUCCUUGAGAGUCCUGAAGGAACGUUGAAGACGACGACGUUGAUAGGCCGGGUGUGUAAGCGCAGCGAUGCGUUGAGCUAACCGGUACUAAUGAACCGUGAGGCUUAACCUU